rnacentral:rRNA from 1 species
AGAAUCAACGCUGGCGGCGUGCCUAACACAUGCAAGUCGCACGAGAAAGGGUAGCAAUACCUGAGUAAAGUGGCGCACGGGUGAGUAACACGUGAAUUAUCUACCUCCGAGUGGGGAAUAACUGAGAGAAAUCUUAGCUAAUACCGCAUAACACUUACGAGUCAAAGCAGCAAUGCGCUUGGAGAGGAGUUCGCGGCAGAUUAGUUAGUUGGCGGGGUAAUGGCCCACCAAGACGAUGAUCUGUAUCCGGCCUGAGAGGGCGCACGGACACACUGGAACUGAAACACGGUCCAGACUCCUACGGGAGGCAGCAGUGGGGAAUUUUGCGCAAUGGGGGAAACCCUGACGCAGCAACGCCGCGUGGAGGAUGAAAUCCCUUGGGAUGUAAACUCCUUUCGAUAGGGAAGAUAAUGACGGUACCUAUAGAAGAAGCCCCGGCUAACUUCGCGCCAGCAGCCGC